rnacentral:rRNA from 1 species
UCAGAAACUCAAAGGAAUUGACGGGGGCCCGCACAAGCGGUGGAGCAUGUGGUUUAAUUCGAUGAUACGCGAGGAACCUUACCUGGGCUCAAAUGUAUGUUGACGUAUUCUGAAAGGGAUACUUCUUCGGACAAUAUACAAGGUGCUGCAUGGUUGUCGUCAGCUCGUGCCGUGAGGUGUCGGGUUAAGUCCCAUAACGAGCGCAACCCCUAUCAUUAGUUGCCAUCAGGUCAAGCUGGGGACUCUAAUGAAACUGCCUACGCAAGUAGUGAGGAAGGCGGGGAUGACGUCAAAUCAGCACGGCCCUUACGUCCAGGGCUACACACGUGCUACAAUGGCCGAUACAGAGGGCAGCUACCUGGUGACAGGAUGCAAAUCUCCAAAGUCGGUCUCAGUUCGGAUCGGAGUCUGCAACCCGACUCCGUGAAGUUGGAUUCGCUAGUAAUCGCGCAUCAGCCAUGGCGCGGUGAAUACGUUCCCGGGCCUU